rnacentral:lncRNA from 1 species
GGAAAUGAUAGGCUGCUUUCAAAGCAGCUUCAUCAAAAGCAAACACUGGGCAAACGAAGUGGAAAAUAAAUAACAUGCAUAAUCAGCGAUAAGGAGCCCAGAAGCCAUGUGUCGCAGCAGAGCCAUUGGCAAAAGAGAGCCUCCUGUCACAGAAGAGUGGUAGCGGCCGGCGGAGCACCGCUGUUGUGCAGACCUCAACGGAGAAAAGUUGGAAUAAUUUUGAAGAAAGGACGAAGGAAAAGGCAAUAAGCUAAACCCAGCUUUCAACAGAUUGAAUUUACAUCAGCUGCUUCAGAGACUUGUAUAAUUUGUGUUGUGAGGGAGAAGGAGUUCGUUCCUGUGGCAGGUGCUUCCUACAUCUCUGUUCCUCUUUGCCUAUGGAUACUUAAUGGCAUGUAGAUAUUUCAACAAGAGAACACAACGUACGGCUGAUCCAUGUCAAAGAAGGCUAAUGCAGCUCACCCACAUAAAUUACAGGAAGUGUUUCAAAAGAAAACCCUUCAUGCUUUUCCUGCUUCAAAGUGGCUGAGAUGCAGAUCUUGCUUUUCUCUGCUUUAUUCAGAAUAUUUAUGGAUAUGUUUACUUACUAAUGAAAUUCCUUAAAAGCAGACAUAAGACCUGCUUCCAUUCUCCAAACCACUUACAGCCAAGAUCCUGUUGAGGCUGAUGACUAAGGACUGCGACUCGUCUGCUCCUCACAGAGAGCUUUGGUUUUGGCCGAGCUGAAGGCCUGGCUCUGUUCCUGGCCUCUGAGCACCAGCAGACUUUGCAGCUCAGACUUCCAGAAACACAGGCUGCUCCCUCCAGCCUGGGAGCAAAACAGUGGCAUGGCAGCUCUACAAGGACUUCCCUUCAUUUCAUUCCACAAGUUUCUUUGGAAGUGGCCUGUUGUCCUCUCCACGUUCUCAUGGCAGCUGGCCCUGGUGUGGAGACCUCUCUUGGGUUUCUUCUCUUGUCCUCUGAAGCUGCUGCCGUUAGAAUUUCUUCAGGAGAGGAUACUGGACCAGAGAAAAACACAGGAACUGCACUUUCAGAGCAGCUUAAAAACUUUGCGGAAUGCAGUAGGAAUAGAUUUGUAGCCAAGUCUCAGCACAACUUUCAGAACUGC